UUUUCAAAUUCGUCAAAACCAAAAUUCCCUUUACUUUAAAGUGUUUUAUUAGUCAAAAUCUGUUUUGAUUUGUGUUUUUAGGUGUCCCAAAAGUGUGUUAGAGUCCAAAUCUGCCCAGUUUGUGUUUUUAGGCAGAUUUGAGCGUUUUUAGCUUAUUUUGAGUCCUUUGAGUUUGUUUUGAGUCCUUUGAGUUUGUUUUAAGUUCUUUGAGUCUAGUUUAGUAUUUUUAACUUUUUUUAUAUGUUUUUAAGUCAGUUUAGAGGUUUUAGCAAGCCCUCCUAAUCCCCGGUUUAGAAUGAUCCCUACUUGCAUUUAUACUACAAUUUGACAACAAGAGGGUUUAAUUUGUGUGUUAAGUUAAUUUUCGCACCAUCUGACUACAGCAACGUGUUCAAGGACCACCAUCGCCACAACCGCCAGCACUGGGAUGGAGUCGUUAUGCCAAAGCACGAGCCUCUGACUUUGCUUACUUAUUUCUCUUUUGUUACAACUCCCUUACGCAAACGGUUUUUGUCUACAUGUUCGUGGGAUCGAGCUCUACGAGAAUAUACCAAAGUAAUAAAUCAUACGUGUCACGACACGAUAGUCAACAAAAGUCAACACUUUUUCUUGUGGGGGUAUUUUGGUCAUCAGACCCUUGAAUAUGACAUAGGAUAAUCUACUCCCUUUAAGAAAAUAUCAUCCUCGAAAUUUUCACAAGUACAUCAACACCAAAGUGGAACUGAGGACAUCAACAGUCUUCCGUUUCCAAAGUAGUACCUUCGACUUUGAUACCAAACUGACACACUAUGAUCCUGAUGUCAAAGUGAACACCGAAAUUAAGGCAUGCUAGCCAUCACCGAGAAUGUGACAUAGCCAUAACGAGCAUGCAUUACAAUCUAAUCAAAUGACUUCGAAUAAUCUACUGAAAAUUCGGCAGAGUUUCCUUUGAAUUUAGUUCGGGUCCAAAUUGGAAACUUACUAAAAAUAUUAAUUAUUUCAAGACCACACCCCCCAAGGGCCACACCAAAUUAAUGAUCCACUAUAUGCAUGUGUUUGGGCCCAAAAUAACAGUUUGGGCCGAGGGAGGUAUCACUUUCGGCCCGGAAGACGUACGGCGAGAGAGUCAUGGG
rnacentral:lncRNA from 1 species